CUGAAAGCCACAAAAGGAGUUAUGAGCAGAGCCCCAGUCUCAGAGAUUCAUUAGCUAAGCGCUUAAUGAAUUUUUGAGUGCGUGUGUGUUCCGCCUUCUUCCACCCCAUUCACUCAAGGACAGCAUUCUUCAUUCCAGCACACCCGACGCUGUCCCUGAUCAGCAUCCUUUAUGAAUGGGUGAGAAUGUGGACACAGAGACAGACAUGACACGGGGAGAACACCAAGUGAAGACGAAGGCAGAGCGCGGGAGUGCUUCUACAAGCCAAAUAGCGCCGAAGAUGGCCAGCAAGCCACCAGAAGCUAGGCGAGGGGCCUGGAACAGAUUCUUCCUCACAUCCCUCAGAAGGAACCAACUCUGCUGACACCUUGAUCUCAGACUUCCAGCCCCCAGAACUGUGACACAAUAAACUUCUGUUGUGUAAGCAA
rnacentral:lncRNA from 1 species